GAUGAAGAACGUAGCGAAAUGCGAUAAGUAGUGUGAAUUGCAGAAUUCCGUGAAUCAUCGAAUCUUUGAACGCACAUUGCGCCUUCUGGUAUUCCGGAAGGCAUGCCUGUUCGAGAGUCAUUAACAACCGUUUCGAUCCCUUUCUUUCAGAAAUUACAAAGAGGAAAAGGGUUUGGUUAUGGUGGAGGAGGGAAAGGGAGCGUUUAGCCUGUAAAAAAAGAGGCUGUGUUCCGCCUCCCCCCCAAAAUUGUACAGGCGGUCGUGUGCGCCCACGCAUCGAGGUGUUGUAAAAGCUGCCACGGCACUUUUCACCUGUGCAGUGCGAGAUUGGCCAGCCGGUUUAAAAACCCCUCCAAACAAUCAAAGGUUGACCUCGGAUCAGGUAGGGAUACCCGCUGAACUUAAGCAUAUCAAUAAGCUGAGGA
rnacentral:misc_RNA from 1 species